rfam:Streptomyces sviceus ATCC 29083 chromosome, whole genome shotgun sequence.
CGCUCAUCCAGAGGGGCAGAGGGAUACGGCCCGAUGAAGCCCCGGCAACCCUCCAGUCGGUUCUCGUAGCGAUCGCUGACGAUCGUCUCCGCGAGGCUCCCGACUCGGGAAGGUGCCAAAUCCGUCUCACGGCGAGAUGCGUCGUGAGGAAGAUGAGGA